CAUCCAAUCCACGUUGAGAGUCAGGGAGGAUGUUGCAACUCGAGAUGCUCUUAGAAGAGGUGAGAACGAGAUGGUCCCCAAUCUAGGGCUUUAGAUAAAUUCGCUCACUAACACCCCCAGCGACCCUCAGGCACAGAGAGGCCAAGCCACUCGCCCAAGGUUGCCUAGCUCGUGAGCGGCCGAGCUGGAGUUUGAACCCUAGAAGUCUGGCUCCAGUCUGUCUUUAACUGCGGCGCCGCGCUGCCUCUCUGCACCCAGCUCAGAGCGUCCAUCAGCAGACCCUGCUUGGGAGUGGAGUCGGGGAGGACGGGGGAGGGAGAGGAGGGGUGACGUGUUGGCGUCCCCAAACCCCUCCCCGUCUAGCCCUCCCCCGGACCAGCGGUUGACUCAUCGAUGGCAAAGCCGGCCAACCCGGCUGGCACCGCAGUUCCACCCCGGCUCUGUGGUUACCCGUGGUGGGAUGGCCGCACGGUCUGAAACAACACAUCACGGCCGUGCCUCUGCCCGCCCCAGCUGCUGCUCGUCAGCCCUGCGCGGGGGACCCUCUCGGGCAGUGUCUGCGGCAAGUUCAAGUGCCUCCUUGAGGAUGCAUCUUAGAGAAGUGACAUUCUUUCCCUGUCCUCCGUGGAUUCCUUCCCCAGCUCUACCGUCCUGUGGACGUCUUCACCCCAGACCCCAGCUGGCUCAGAGAGAGAGGAGGGGAGCGAGGGGGAGACAGGCGUAGGGAUGAAGGCGAGAGAUGCGCGGAGACAGAAGAACCGGGACGCGCAGCAGAGUCUCCACGGCCCGGGGCGCCGUCCUCCUUUGUCGCUGGAUGUGGCCGGGUGACCACAUUUUGGUCAAGGAGAUGCAAGCACAGCGAUGUGGAACAGCCUCAAGGAAAUCUCUUCAAAACACAGCCGGUGGGCACCCACUUGCCUCUACUUCCCCUUGGCUUCCUUCCUGCUGGGUGGACGGCAAACGUGAUGGCUGAUGCUCAAGCAGCCAUAUUGGACCCUGAGGAAAAAGUUCCGUGCAGAGAGUGGACUGCCUCCCUCCGAACUUCUGCCCAUGGGGUGACCCGCCCCGCCAAGCAGAGAAGCUGCGUGCAGACGGAGAGCAGGGCAGACAGCGGGUUCCCUUCACUGCCCCCAGGCAGGGGGAGCUGCCACGCCCCCUACAGAGGGAGGAGAGGUGACCAUCCCGGGGGUCUGUCCGCGGACUUCCGAGAGACCCGAGUGAAGGGCGAGGACUCUGAGCUUGGGUGCACGUCCCGGCUCUGCGGCUCCUGGCCUGUGACCUUGGGCAGCCCACCUCUCCAGGAGCCUCGGUUUGCUUGUGUCGGAUGAUUUGGUGGCUCGUAAGCAAAGGAGAGCGAGCCGUGCACUUAGGCAGAGCAGCACUUCUCAGGCUGCCCGGGACGUGCCCAGUGCCCGCUGUGACGCGGGGGUCCGCAGGGGCCAGAGGUCCUGCUGUCUGACACGCUCCCUGGGGACACCCAUGUUGCAGGUGCGUGGACUGCAUCUUGAGUCCCGAGCCCUCAGCCUAGUUCCGGGGUUGGCCACCUGCCGCCCGUGGGCCACCUCCCGCCCCUGCCCGCUUUUGUGGGUGAAGGUUGGUUGGAACAUGGACACGUUUAUUUACACGUCGUCUACGCUGCGUUCCUGCCGCAGCGCCAAAGCUGACCAGCUGCCACAGAGACCUGGCGGCCUGCAAAGCGGCACUCCUUUCCUUCCCGGCCCUCCGGAGCCAGCGUUUGCCGACCCAGAUGGGAAGCAGAAAGAACCGAAAGAGGAGAAGGGUGGGAGGCCCCCAGCCCAGAGGAGGGGCCGCGGCCACAGGGCGGCUGGUUCUGGCGGCGGAGCUGGCCUUAGUGGGCCUCGCCACCUCCCCCGGGAAGACCUCCACCACGAUGGCAGGGAAACGAGGCCGGGCCAGGCAGAGGGCCCGGGUAAGAGGGGUCGCCGGAGGAGAAAGUCACCUGGAGAAUCCUUCCCCUGCAGCCCCCAGCUGUCGGGCCCACCCCGCGGCCCCCACAUCCCGGUGUCUCCGCCCUCUGGGGACGAGGCCCCCCGGCCGCCCUCGCAGGCCCGGCUCCCGGGAGCUCAUCAGAGGAGGACGGCGGGGUUGCAUCCAAUUUCGCUGCCUCCUCAUCGAAAUGAGAAAUCUGAGGCCAGGGCGGCCUCACAGAGCUGAUAACGCCCUCAGGUGAAGCUCUUCUCUUAUCGCGGCCUGGUCACCUCCAUCUGCACAGGCUUGUUUGCCUUAAAAAAAAAAAAACUGCCUGGGACAUGGGUUGGCUGUGAUAGGAAAAAAAAAAAAAAAAAAGGGAAAGAGGCAAAGGAACACUUUAUUUUUCCAGACUUGGGGGAGGCGGGGUCCGGCCCCCUCCCACUGCGGG
rnacentral:lncRNA from 1 species